rnacentral:rRNA from 1 species
UACGUAGGGUGCAAGCGUUGUCCGGAAUUAUUGGGCGUAAAGAGCUCGUAGGCGGUUUGUCGCGUCUGCUGUGAAAAUCCAGGGCUUAACCCUGGACCUGCAGUGGGUACGGGCAGACUAGAGUGCGGUAGGGGAGAUCGGAAUUCCUGGUGUAGCGGUGAAAUGCGCAGAUAUCAGGAGGAACACCGGUGGCGAAGGCGGAUCUCUGGGACGGUACUGACGCUGAGACGCGAAAGCGUGGGGAGCGAACAGG